AGAGUGGGCGGAGCCAGGCGUUUACAACUUAUUAUUUAGUACAGAAGUUUAAUACCUAUCUAAUGUAUAUUAAUACAUUAUGAUAAAUGUUAUUUUAUGAUAAAUUAAAUAUAAUUUUGUUAUUUUACUGCAUGAGACAAUGUUUAUAUAUUUUGAUCAGCCCUCCCCCCCUCCUCGAAAUAAAAUUCUGGAUACGCGCCUGCCAGUAAGAUUAACAUAUCACCAUGAUUAUCAGUUUAGUAUAAUAAUAUUAUGUACAGUGUCCCA